AACGAACGCUGGCGGCGUGCCUAAUACAUGCAAGUCGAGCGGACCUCUUCGGAGGUUAGCGGCGGACGGGUGAGUAACACGUGGGCAACCUGCCUGUAAGACUGGGAUAACUCCGGGAAACCGGAGCUAAUACCGGAUAGUCUCUUGAACCGCACGGUUCAAGUUGGAAAGACGGUUUCGGCUGUCACUUACAGAUGGGCCCGCGGCGCAUUAGCUAGUUGGUGAGGUAAUGGCUCACCAAGGCAACGAUGCGUAGCCGACCUGAGGGGGUGAUCGGCCACACUGGGACUGAGACACGGCCCAGACUCCUACGGGAGGCAGCAGUAGGGAAUCUUCCGCAAUGGACGAAAGUCUGACGGAGCAACGCCGCGUGAGUGAUGAAGGUUUUCGGAUCGUAAAACUCUGUUGUUAGGGAAGAACAAGUGCGAGAGUAACUGCUCGCACCUUGACGGUACCUAACCAGAAAGCCACGGCUAACUAUGUGCCAGCAGCCGCCGUAA
rnacentral:rRNA from 1 species